rnacentral:rRNA from 1 species
UACGGGGGGGGCAAGCGUCGUUCGGAAUUACUGGGCGUAAAGGGCGCGUAGGUGGCCAACUAAGUCAGACGUGAAAUCCCUCGGCUUAACCGGGGAACUGCGUCUGAUACUGGAUGGCUUGAGUUUGGGAGAGGGACGCGGAAUUCCAGGUGUAGCGGUGAAAUGCGUAGAUAUCUGGAGGAACACCGGUGGCGAAGGCGGCAUCCUGGACCGACACUGACGCUGAGGCGCGAAAGCUAGGGUAGCAAACGGG